rnacentral:rRNA from 1 species
UACGUAGGGUGCGAGCGUUGUCCGGAAUUAUUGGGCGUAAAGAGCUCGUAGGCGGUGUGUCACGUCGGCCGUGAAAACCUGCAGCUUAACUGUGGGCUUGCGGUCGAUACGGGCAUCACUGGAGUUCGGCAGGGGAGACUGGAAUUCCUGGUGUAGCGGUGAAAUGCGCAGAUAUCAGGAGGAACACCGGUGGCGAAGGCGGGUCUCUGGGCCGAUACUGACGCUGAGGAGCGAAAGCGUGGGGAGCGAACAGG